AGAUUGAACGACAAAACG
rnacentral:tRNA from 3 species